AGCAGCCGCGGUAAUUCCAGCUCCAAUAGCGUAUAUUAAAGUUGUUGCAGUUAAAAAGCUCGUAGUUGAAUUUCGGGAUUGACACAUCGGUCGUGCCUUAAGGGGUAUGAACUGGUGUAGUCAAUUUCUCACCUUCUGGAGAACCGCGAUGCCCUUAAUUGGGUGUCGCGGGGAACCAGGACCUUUACUUUGAAAAAAUUAGAGUGUUUAAAGCAGGCAUUUUGCUUGAAUACAUUAGCAUGGAAUAAUAAAAUAGGACGGCAUGAUUCUAUUUUGUUGGUUUCUAGGAUCACCGUAAUGAUUAAUAGGGAUAGUUGGGGGCAUUAGUAUUCAAUUGUCAGAGGUGAAAUUCUUGGAUUUAUUGAAGACUAACUACUGCGAAAGCAUUUGCCAAGGAUGUUUUCAUUAAUCAAGAACGAAAGUUAGGGGAUCGAAGACGAUCAGAUACCGUCGUAGUCUUAACCAUAAACUAUGCCGACUAGGGAUCGGAUGAUGUUAAUUUUUAAUGUACUC
rnacentral:rRNA from 1 species